AGGGGAUGCCCAGGAUGCCCAGAGCAGGACAGGGAUGCUGGAACACGUCUGGAGGACAGGACAGGGGAUGCUGGAGUGAUGACAGGGGGUCCUCAGGGAUGCAAGGAGGACCAAGAGAUACUGGAGAGCCUGGAGCAGAAUGCAGAAUGGCCAAGAACUCGGGAAAAACAAGGCAGAUUGGAGAAAGGUCAUCUGAGGCUGGGACUGGGAGAAUUCCCUUCUUUGAAAUCCCCAGCAGAGUUGAGGAGCAGGUACCAACAACCCUCCUGUUCCCAUGGACUGAGGUCAGCCACAUCCAAAUUUGCAGGGAUUUCUAAGUGUGCAUGCAGACACUUGUUUUCCCAUUAAAAAAAAAUAAAUAAAUAAAAAGGAGAAAAAUAUAAGUCUGUAAUUGAAGCUGCUGAGACUGCAGUUUCGGAGCAGCCCUGCUGUGAUGUAUCAGUUCCUUCUUCUCAUUUUCCAGCUUCCCCAGCAUCCUGUUGUGCACCAAUAUAUGUCUGUGCUGCAUCUUUCCCACUCUCCCCACCACUAAUUCUUGGAUUCUUGGUGGUUGUAUUGCUUAUUUUGCAAGAUGUCUGACUAUUUGUUUGAAAUAAUAUUGUAUUGUUUUUGAACAGUUCCAAUGGCAAUGUUUGGAAUGAAUGGUUUUUAAGCUCUAGUGUGUUUUUGCACAAAGGCAUUUUUGACUCCUUAUAUAUUUUGGACAUUAUUACUGAUUCCAGAGUAAGAUCUUGGCUAUUAAAGCCCUUAAUCAUAUAGGGUUUUUUAUUAUUUGUAUUCCCAAAGUAGUGAGAAGUCUAAAUGUGAGGGAGAAUCCCAGCAUCAUGUGAAUACAUGGAAAUAAAUGGGCUGUCCCACAGAUGU